UAAAUCUGGCUGUGAUUUCCUUUGGUGGCUCUGGCGUACGAUGCAGCAGUGCUGAACAUUUGCAGAUAGUUAAGGCCUAGUGCCGCAGGAAAAUUAUUUCUGUGGCUGCUGGCCUGUGCAAGCUCUGCAGCUGCAGAAGCCACCUCCCCGGAGAGGAAGCGGAGGGGGCGGGUCUAGGGGGCAGGGAGAUGCUGAAGCGCAGGGGGAUGAGUGGGGCAUCGGGGCCUGACGGGCAGGGGCAGGUGGUGCGUCCAGGAGCAACAGCGCCCCGCCUCGGACAUGCCCCUAUUCCACUAUUGGGGUGACCUCUGCUGAGUGGUAGGAAGGCAGCUGGAGGCCCACCCAGGCCCCAAACUGGACCUUCUUGUCUACACUCUUGCUCGCCUUCACGGUGAGACAGCACAAAAUCCGACAGAGCUCCUCCUCCGCUGGCAGAGUCACGCCAGAGGUGACACAUGGCGAACUGGCCGCCCCCGGGCAGGGUGCUCACCUGGGAUCACAAGCCUGCCGUGAACAUCUGAUGUUUCGGAUGAAUUUUCAUCUUGCCCACCCCGGGAGCCUCUCUUUUUCCUGCAGGAGAGCCUCUCAAAGGAGCGAUUCUGGUUCUUGGGGGGCGGGGGUGGGGUGUAUUGAGCUUUGGGAUCUUGUAUCAGGCCUUUCUGGGGGUAACGAACUGAGGUGAGCUCAAAGAAAGGUCUAUUGUUUGACGAGCCCUCAAUUUUCUGUAGCUCCAGAUGCUGCCUAGAAGAGCUAACUUUAUCUGGAAGGAAAGGACCAGGAGGUUGGACAUCCCCUCCUCCCCACCCUUGAUUCUUGGUUCCCCAGUCCCCUGAAACAGGCUGUAAUGAAGUUACUUUGUUUUCCUCUGUCUUUCCACUAUCGGGCCACUUGCUCUGUGUCUUGUCUCUAAGAUCCCAAUACCUGGUGGCAAGAGGGGGGGGGCAGCCCUAACACCGUGUGGAGGCGCGGAGGAUUUCACGCAGCACAAGAAACUGGAUUGGCCCUAAGCAGCGAUUUCUGUUUAUCUCGUCCCAACCCCACAUGGCCAGAAAACCCUACAGGCCAGAGAACCCUAUAUGCAUCACAGGUUAAAUGCAGAGAAGCAGCAUUCCCAGGUUGUGGCUCUUAUCUCAGAAACAAAAAAAUCAAAAUACCUUCGGAGUCCCCCUCCUCCCGUCUUCUCCCUCCCAUCACUCCAGGUGGAUUAAUCCUCCAGAAUUACAGGCCGGAGAAGUCAGCUCUAGCAGUCAGCAAACAGGUCUCCACGGGGACAGUGGAUUUCAAUCCGGAAACCCAACCUUCUGAGCCCGCGUAAGCCCCUGCGCACCUGCCAGUCGGUGCCAGGACAGACAGGGCCGCGGGCGGGGUGCCCAGGACACCCACGCUGGGAGGUCCCCCCGGGCCCCGACAUGAGGAGGCAGAGCCGAGGGCCCUCUGGACCCAUUAUGCUCGGUGACACCUUUCUCUCCGGCCGCCUAACCGUCACAAAGACGGGGACCUGAUGAAAAACCGCAUCCGUUUCUAGCUCUUCCCAUAAUUUUGAUCGACAACAUUAAACGCUAAUAGAAAAACAUCUUAUCUCUAAUAAAACUAACGCUGGC
rnacentral:lncRNA from 1 species